rnacentral:tRNA from 1 species
GGGAAGUUGGCUUAGUGGUAGAGUGCUUGCCUCAUAUGCAUGAGGCUCUGGGUUCGAUUUCUCA